rnacentral:rRNA from 1 species
UACGGAGGGUGCAAGCAUUAAUCGGAUUUACUGGGCGUAAAGGGUGCGUAGGCGGAUUGGUAAGUCAGAUGUGAAAUUCCGGUACUCAAUACCGGAGCUGCAUUUGAAACUACCUUUCUAGAGGGUGGACGGAGAGAACGGAAUUCCAUAUGUAGCGGUGAAAUGCGUAGAUAUAUGGAAGAACACCUGUGGCGAAAGCGGUUCUCUAGUUUAUCACUGACGCUGAUGCACGAGAGUGUGGGGAGCAAACAGG